CAGCCGGAGACUGGCAAACUUUGACUCCACGCCGCGAGAAGAAUCGGCCAGCCUGAGAAAGCGAAAAAAGGCAUUCUUCACCAUGGAAGUUCAAACCAACUACUGUGUGCACCAGGAUCCCCACGAUACCCAAGUGCAACAGAACCAGCCCCAGAGGGAUGCAGUCAAAACGAAGACAUCAUGCAAGGAAUGCUGCCAGAAUUGCUGCGACACGACCAUCAAUUUCUGCUCUAUGCUGGCCGAAUGCGGCUCCUGCUGCUGUGACUGUUUUGAGACUAUCAUUUCGCUCUUUUAGGAGCAUCGACAGAUGCGUGGUUGGGAGCACCCUCAGCGCCAGGCAAAUGGUGUGGCACAGCAACGGAACGACUGAAGAGAGGAAGGCACUGCAGAGGGUGGGGAAAGCUGCUCAGAAAAUCGUAGGGCGCUUUCUUCCCACCACCACCACAGACAUCUUCAUCAGCCGAUGCAAUUGGAGGACUCCGUGGCAAAAGAGACCGAUCCCACUCUCCCCCUGCACGAGUAAAACCUAAAGAAGCCAUAUGUAAUAAUCUGUCCAGAAAUGAUACUGCAAUCACGGUCAAAAUUCCCUCUCCCUGACUGAGGUUGCCAGAUACGCAGCCGAAUCCAGCUCGAUGGACUGGGCUACUCCAAGGAACUUCAAACUUCCACUGCCUCUUACUAGGGGUUGAGGUGCUGGGACCAUAAUAGCUGAAUAGACAAGCACUUUGUCAAUAACAAAUCUCUAACCAACACAUUUUACACAGAAUUUAGGCUAUUUUCAGGAAGAAGUACAUCAUACUUGCGUAUAAUAUCACAACAAACGACAAUCAUAUGGUUACUGUCAGUACUAUCAGAAAACAAAGACUAAAACCAAUGGUACCAAUGGUUAUACUGGUGGAAAUAAGUAGAGCAUGCUUCGCAGCCUAAUGUACAGCCAAAACUAAAGAGGAGACAUUUUACCAAGGAAUGCCUAUAUAGGCUACUGUUUCAAACAUUGCAGAUUGCCAUAUAACUUGGUAGAUGUAGUCCACAAUAUGCAAUCAUCAAUAAGGAAUGUUUGUAUCAUGUGAUUUGGCUGAUCCAUACGUUUCAUAUUGUCAUUAGCCCAAAUGUCGAUGUGUCAUUGAUAAGCAUUACACUAGGAGCGAAGCAUCAUCACACUAAGCAUUUGUUGCGCGGACAUAUUAGCUUUGUGAGACAAGAUCAUAGACUGUAUUCGACAAUAUAGUUUACAUACCAAACGUCCAUUUCCAUUUAUUACAAUUAAUAAGAAAUAAUAAUAAUAAUAAUAAAUUGGAUUUGUAAAAAACACUUUACAUUGAGUAAACAACCUCAAAGUGCUACAAGGUAUUAAAAAUAAAAAAAUAAAUAAAUAAAAAUAAAAACGAGAACAGCCAAAUAGCUAGAACUAGUAUGCAUAUAUCUAAAGCCUUUUUUAAAAUCAUCCACAGUCUGUGGUGCCCUCAGGUGGUCAGGGAGAGCGUUCCACAGACUGGGAGCGGCCGAGCUGAAAGCCCGGUUUCCCAUUGUUCGUAGCUUUCAAGAAAACGUAAAUGCCUGACUUACCAAUGAAAUUAGCAAGUUCUUCAUCUUCGUCAGUGUGCAAUUUCCAACAAGAAGUGAUGCACUUAAAUAGUCGCAGCUGUGGUCAAUCAACUGAUACAACACAUCGAGAACAACUUCAAAAAUGAAAGUGUAAAAAUAAUAAACUAAAAGGAAAAUUGUACGAAACACAUCAAAGCACAGUAUCAUAGGAAAAUAAAUGAAGCAAUAAAACAAAACAAAAAUAAAGCAAUAAAAGAAUUAA